AGAGUUUGAUCCUGGCUCAGGACGAACGCUGGCGGUGUGCUUCACACAUGCAAGUCGAACGGGGUAGCAAUACCCAGUGGCGGACGGGUGAGUAACACGUGGGAAUCUGCCUUGAGAUGGGGGAUAGCAGACCGAAAGGUCUAUUAAUACCGCAUAUGUGUAUGUCUCGACAGGGGCAUACAUGAAAGGAGCAAUCCGUCUUAAGAUGAGCCCGCGUCCGAUUAGCUAGUUGGUAGGGUAAUGGCCUACCAAGGCGACGAUCGGUAGGUGGUCUGAGAGGAUGAUCACCCACAAUGGGACUGAGACACGGCCCAUACUCCUACGGGAGGCAGCAGUGGGGAAUUUUGUGCAAUGGGCGAAAGCCUGACACAGCGACACCGCGUGAGCGAAGAAGCCCUUUGGGGUGUAAAGCUCUGUCAGCUGGAACGAAACAAAUGACGGUACCAGCAGAGGAAGCAUCGGCUAACUACGUGCCAGCAGCCGCGGUAAGACGUAGGAUGCGAGCGUUGUCCGGAUUUAUUGGGCGUAAAGAGUUCGUAGGUGGUUUGUUAAGUUCGAUGUUAAAGAUCGAGGCUCAACCUCGGGAGUGCAUUGAAUACUGGCAGACUUGAGUGCGGUAGAGGCUAGCGGAAUUCCCAGUGUAGCGGUGAAAUGCGUAGA
rnacentral:rRNA from 1 species